AGGCUCAGAUACCCUGCCAAUGCAGUGCUGCUCUGGAAGGCAAUGGAGACUGCAAUUGCAGGAGACCAUGUCUGUUGGGUUUACCAGUCCUCCUCAUUCUGGAAGAGGUGUGCUGUGGCUAUAAUCCGUGGGGGGAAAGAUUUCAGUGGUGAUCGCCGAGACAGAUCCAAGGCUGCAGUGUGCGUCGUAGGAGGCCAGGUCUGUUGGGUUUACCAGUCGACAUUCUGGAAAAGACUGGUGCUGUCACAAAUCCGUGGGGAAAAAGAUUUCAGUGGUGAUUGAUGAGACUGAUCCGAGACUGCAGGUGCUAAAU